UAAAAUGAGAGCUUCUGCAGGAUUUUUAUUUAUCUUAGUGGCGGACGGGUGAGUAACGUGUGGGCAACCUGCCCUAUACUGGGGAAUAAUCACUGGAAACGGUGACUAAUACCGCAUGUCAUCACGAGAAGGCAUCUUUUUGUGAGAAAAGGAGUAAUUCGGUAUAGGAUGGGCCCGCAUCUGAUUAGCUAGUUGGUGAGAUAACAGCCCACCAAGGCGACGAUCAGUAGCCGACCUGAGAGGGUGAUCGGCCACAUUGGGACUGAGACACGGCCCAAACUCCUACGGGAGGCAGCAGUGGGGAAUAUUGCACAAUGGGGGAAACCCUGAUGCAGCAACGCCGCGUGAAGGAAGAAGGUUUUCGGAUCGUAAACUUCUAUCAACAGGGACGAAGAAAGUGACGGUACCUGAAUAAGAAGCCCCGGCUAACUACGUGCCAGCAUCCGCGGUAAUACGUAGGGGGCAAGCGUUAUCCGGAAUUACUGGGUGUAAAGGGAGCGUAGGCGGCACGCCAAGCCAGAUGUGAAAGCCCGAGGCUUAACCUCGCGGAUUGCAUUUGGAACUGGCGAGCUAGAGUACAGGAGAGGAAAGCGGAAUUCCUAGUGUAGCGGUGAAAUGCGUAGAUAUUAGGAAGAACACCAGUGGCGAAGGCGGCUUUCUGGACUGAAACUGACGCUGAGGCUCGAAAGCGUGGGGAGCAAACAGGAUUAGAUACCCUGGUAGUCCACGCCGUAAACGAUGAGUGCUAGGUGUCGG
rnacentral:rRNA from 1 species